rnacentral:rRNA from 1 species
UACGAAGGGGGCUAGCGUUGCUCGGAAUCACUGGGCGUAAAGGGUGCGUAGGCGGGUCUUUAAGUCAGAGGUGAAAUCCUGGAGCUCAACUCCAGAACUGCCUUUGAUACUGAGGGUCUUGAGUUCGGAAGAGGGUCGUGGAAUUCCCAGUGUAGAGGGUGAAAUUCGUAGAUAUUGGGAAGAAACACCGGUGGCGAAGGCGGCGACCUGGUCCGAUACUGACG